rnacentral:tRNA from 1 species
GUUUCUAUAGUUGAAUAACAACGAUGAUUUUUCAUGUCAUUGGUCAUAGUGAA